ensembl:lncRNA
AUCAAGGUUACCAAUAACCUGUAUCUGGCCAAAGCCAUGGGCCAAGUUCCCAUUUUCAUCUUACUCCAUCUGUCAGUAGCAGUUGACCUUGCUGAACACACUCUUCUUUUUCGAUCCACCCUCCUUGAAACACUUCCCUGGCUUUGGUGACACCAUUCUCCUGGUUUUCCCGACCUCAGGGAAAUCUUUGUCUCAUCUCAAUUCCUGGUUGCUCUUUUUCUAUCAGGCAUGGAGGAGAGCCCAGAGUACCAAUGACAGCAAACUCCUCUAGCUGCACUCUCUCCCAGUUCCAUGGCAUUAAUACCACCAUACACUGACACAUGUCAAAUGGGCAUCUCCAGUCCAGCUAGACUAUUUAAUCCAACUACCUACUCAACAUCUCCACCUGGAUGUCUAAGAGGUACGAAGAGAAAGGAGACAUAAGGACCAAGUUAUUUCUUGAAACCAAGAGGAAAGUGACCUCAAGUGAACUCUUAAGAUGCAGCCAUUGUACUAUAUUCUCAAAUCUGGGACAAAUAUUAAGGCCAAGAACACUUUAAGUAGUUGUAAAAAUAUAGUUAUACUAAAACCCCCACUCAGCUACUCCAUAAUCUCACCUGCUCCUGACACCUCUGAAAGCCUUGUCCUAAAACUGCCCUCACCCUCCUGGAACUCACAGUGCCCCCACUCUCAUCUCCAUCUCACCUCCAACCAUGGCUGGUAAGUCUCCACGGACUUCCCAGACUAUUUGAUGGCUCAACUCUUCAAUCCCUUUCUAUGUACCUAAGGGAACCAUUAAUCCCGCUCUUCCAAUGAUCCCAGCUUCAAAUCACUCAGCGUGAUUUCCUCUCACUCUUAUUCGUGAGACAAAAAUAGGAAAUAUUGAUAUCAUCCUAAAGGACUCCUCUUAAGCGGUCCAUUUUUAUAUAAGUCAGGAAUUUUAAACACAUGUGAGAAUCAAAUGUUAGGCUUAUAGAGAAGGAUCUAAUUCUUUAUUCUUUUUCUUAUAUCCAGUGAUUGUUGCUGUCAUCACAAUUACUUUAAACGCAUCUGGGAUUUAAUGCUUUAAAGGAACUCACUCUGCCAGACUCAGACACAGUAUUCCAAAUGGUACUUAUUCACAGUUUUUCACGUUCCCUUCCCCAUCCCAUGACCACCCAAAAAGAACACUCAGUCUGUCAGAUGGCAGUUGUAGAAUGUCCUUUCUACCCCUCCUCCUAGAGCAGCCUUGUGCACAGGAAACGCCCACCCCUCCUCCCACCACCUGUCGCUCAGUCUUCCUGAGCGGACCAGGAAUGCCUGCUCUGAGUGGUAAGAGCCCCUCCUUCACUGGGCCUUAGCUAUAUUCUUGGCUACAAGCUUGAUAGCGGGACCCUCGCUUUGAAGGGGUUGCUGGUGCUUGCCCAAAUUCAUACGGCAGUACUUCCUGCUUCAUGUGGCUGUUAGCACUUGGGCAUCUACACCACCAGUAAGAACCUCUGGGAGGAAAAGAAGUAAAGGGCCCCAAACUCCUAACAUAAUAAUUGAAGCAAUCUAUAAAUUCAAAGCAGCGUUUCAGUUGUUAUCAGUUUUCUAUACCGCCAGAGCAAAUUACGACGAGCUUAGUGGGUUCAAACCAUACGCGUCUGUGGUCGCACAGCUCUGCAGGUCCACGGCGGGGCUCGGCGUGGGUCAGCUGAGUCUCUGCUUAGGCUCUCACCAGGCUGGAGUCAAGCUGUUGGCAGAGUUGCUGUCCUCUAAGGAGGCUCUGGGGACGAAUCUGCUUCCAAGCUCCUUCAGAUUGUUGGCAGAAUUCAGCUUCACACAAUUGGAGCGCUGAGAUCCCUGUUCCUGUGCUGCCUGCCGCCCAGCAGUUCUCAGCUUCUAGAGGCUGCCUGUAUUCCUGGCCUCGUGGCCCCUGCCUCCAUCUGCAAAGCAACAAUGGCAGGUAGAAUCCUCCUCGUACUUCUAGUCUCCGGGCCCUCCCUCUGCCUCACAUUGCCCCAGCUGC